AUGACGUAUCUCUUCACGGUGCCCGAGUACUCCAAGUGGGCGCGGACGCCGGCCCGCACGGCGCUCAACUUCGACCCCUUCUUCGUCUGCGGGCAACUCCACCACCUCAAUGUCUACCCUGCGGGCUUCGACGAGGAAUCGGCGGAGUUUGUGGCCGUCUUCCUCGUCCCCCGCCACGACCCCUUCGACCACAUCUACAACACCAAGGAGGGCCUCUGCAGGCUCAGGAUCUCCAUCGAGAUCCUGGACGAGAGCGGCGAGCGCAGCGUCUUCGACAACCACACGGCGCGGUCGGGGCAGACGGUCUGGGGCAACGGAAGGGGCUACGUCCGGUUCGUGAAGAGGAGCGAGCUGGAGUGGUCGUCGUGCAUCCGUCGUCGCGACGAUAGCUUCACCAUCCGGUGCACAGUGUUCAUCGACGUGGAGGUGGUAGUGAGAAAAUUGCCGGCGAAGGUCUUCUUGGCAGAACAAAUUGUUCAAGCCUCGAAGCCAGUGGCGGGGACAAUCGGCACGUCCUACACGAUGACGAUCGGCUUCUUCUCGAAUGUCAGGGCAGCGCUCCGUACUGGGGAGUGCGUGCACUCUAGGCAGUUCAGCUUCGGCGGCGGCAGCUGGUACCUCAAGGUGUACCCCAACGGCUACUGCGAAGCCAGCAGGGACUGGGUGUCUGUCAUCCUCGGUCGCGGGAGGUCCGGCGAGACAGAGACGACGGCCGAAUUCCGCUUCGAGGUCAUCGGCGUCGUGGGGGCCGGCGAAGGGGAGUGGUUGAGGCACAUGUUCGACCACGACAACCCUGCCCAUGGGUCCCGGUGCUUGGUGAAGAGCAGCGACCUCACGCAAGCUGAACAUAUGGCCACCGACAACGACCGCCUCGUCAUCCGCUGCCACCUCCGACUGAUCAAGAAGACCACCACAAGGUUGCCACCUACCACAGAGCCGCCGACCGCCAUCGCCGUCCCACCUUCCGACGGGUUGAAACACCAUCACAAGGUGCCCGCCAGACUCGAAAUCGUGGGAAAAAGGAUGGAUGAAGAGACGAGGGAUGCAGCUCCACUGGUGAGCCUCAGGUACUAG
rnacentral:rRNA from 1 species